rnacentral:lncRNA from 13 species
UGUGAAUAUAGGUCUGUGGAUCCGUCCAUGUGAAUAUAGGUCUGCGGAUGCAUCCAUGUCCAAAGAGGAAAGUAAAUCAUCCUAGAAUUUUCAUCAAACAAAGGGAAUUUAAUCCAGGAACUGGCUGCAAAGCUAUCGGAAGGGCUGGUGCUACAAACAGAGGAAGCUAAGAUGCCUAAACAUUCCAGCUGCCGGAAGCUCCUGCCACCUUAGGGCUGGGGGAGAAAAAAGGAAGUGGCGUUUCCCAGAGCCCCACCAUGACUGUGCCAUGGACUCGAUGGCUGCUAGAACUGAGCAGUCACUUAAUGCUUGGGCGGGGGCAGCUGCACUUGUUCCCACUGCUCAAACCCAGAGCAUCACCUCUCCUUGCCUGUCUUCCUCUCGCCCCCCAUCUUUGUCUCCCACAUUGACAGGCCCUGACACGAGGCAGCUGGCAUGGGUGCUGAAGUUGUGGUCUUCUGGUCUGCAGCCUCACUGGUAUAUAGACAGGUACAGAAUGAUGAUGCCAGAGCUGAGAAGACAUCAGGCACAGAAGGCUUGGCGUGACUCCCUGGCUGCAGCAAAGCAGAUAUCUCCCUUAGAGCUUAGUAGAAGAUGUGCCAAAACAUCAGAACUGCAGUCAACUAUCCUUGGCUCCAUGCAUCAGAUUGAAGAGAAAUGAAGCAGCUCCUUAAGCCCCCUGGGGAGUGAGUACCUCAUUGCUUGAUAUAGCUCUAACAAUCGCACCACCUUAACCUAAUAGAAGAGGGUAAACACAUUAUUUUGCAUGAAAUUAUGUUUCUUAAUGAAUUAAUAAUAGGGUUACAAUUCUCAAUUCAACAAGCAGAGAAAUACAGAGAAUAAAAUAAGGGCAAGCAACUGCA